AGCUCCAAACUGCUCUGAAUGAGGCCGCCUCCAACAUCACUGCUUUUUCUUUGCUCGAGAACCUCCAUCAUUCAAACCCAGCUGUCUGCGGCUUAAAAACCCAACCAACGGUCCCAGAGACGAUCAACCACCAUCUGGGAUCCCUUUAACCAUUCCUAUGGCUUUCAAGCUACUGGACCAUCAAGCUAUAGAAAUGAAGCUAAUAUGCAUAUCCAUGUAAUAAAGUGUCUCGAGAGACGCAUGUCAGGGUC